rnacentral:lncRNA from 1 species
CCCGUAAGUACAUAGGGACACAGGGGGCAAAGCCACCCCACGCCCGCUGCAUGGCCAAGCCCAGCUGUGCCCUUGGAGCGCCCUCGGGCACACUGCCCCUUCGCUCUGCCACGCAGCAGCACACCAAGCGGGUGCCCGCCGCCUCCCGCCCAUACGGGCCUCACGUGCGCGGCUGAGCCCCGCGCUCUUAACGGCGGUGCGGGUCGGCUGCCGAGCUCGCCUCCAGCGUGGGCUGAGCCGCACAAACCCACGGUUUGCUUAACAGGGAGAAAUGCGACGGGACGGAACCACACGGAACCGAGCGCCGAGAACCCAGCGUAAAAGGCCUGCGAGAGGUGGCAGCAGGGGCACGGGGCCGGCAUCGCGAUCCGCCUCGGUGGCGGCAAACGGGCGCUCCCGAGCGAAAGCGGAGCCCGGAGCAGCUGCCCGCCCCGACUGCAAACUGCCACCCGCUCCAUCACCCCUCUCGGCCCGGAGCUCCCGCCGCCUCCCCGCCCUCUCGUGACCUUGCGGGCCGCCAUGCCGGCCACCAUCGCGCUCCCUGCCCUGCCUACCUCAAGCACGACGCGCCCCAGCGGCUGGUUGUCGGCGCCCACGUCCAGGCCAAACACUGCUGAUGAGGCAGUGGGAGCUUCACUGCAGCACCAGGGCAGUGACAGAAGGAGCAGCUGAGCAGGGGAUGGCUUCUUGCAGCCCUGAUCAGGAAAGCAUGUGUUCCUGGCACACAGGGAAGAACUACUGCAUGUGAAACUGUACAUCAUCUCCUGGUUUUCGUACCACGAGUACCAGCUGCCAUAAGGUGAUUUAUUGUGGGUUUGUUUAACAGUUAGCCCAAUCAGCAUGCAUUUCUAGUUGACUUCUAUCCUCUCAGCCACAAGUCCAUUCUGGAAAAUAGUUCAGUUCACCCAGCCAUCACUCUAUCAAUCUGCUUAUUCUCUG